rnacentral:misc_RNA from 1 species
AAACUGCGAUAAGUAGUGUGAAUUGCAUUUAGUGAAUCAUCGAAUCUUUGAACGCACCUUGCACUCACUGGUAUUCCGGUGAGUACGCCUGUUUCAGUAUCAUUGAAAACACACAAUCAAAACAUUUUCUUUGGUUUGAUUGGCUUUGGGUCUAUCAAAAAGUUUGGCUUGUUUCUUACAAGCCAAGCGGCCUGAAAUAUAUUGUCUGGCUAAUUGCAUCGUUGAUGAUCGCUAUUAGACUUUGGCUUUUUUAAAUGAACUGGAGGUUGAUUAACCAGUUUUAGCUUUAGUCAAAUGGUCAUUGUAAAAAAAAUCUCGAUCUUGGCUAGGUGUUUAUAGCCGAAAAUUUUUUUUUGGCUAUAGCCGAAACCAAUAUAAUCACAUUUAGUUAUCGAUCUGAAAUCAGGUGGGACUACCCGCUGAACUUAAGC